UACGUAGGGACCAAGCGUUGUUCGGAUUUACUGGGCGUAAAGGGCGCGUAGGCGGCGUGACAAGUCACUUGUGAAAUCUCCGGGCUUAACUCGGAACGGUCAAGUGAUACUGUCGUGCUAGAGUGCAGAAGGGGCAAUCGGAAUUCUUGGUGUAGCGGUGAAAUGCGUAGAUAUCAAGAGGAGCACCUGAGGUGAAGACGGGUUGCUGGGCUGACACUGACGCUGAGGCGCGAAAGCUAGGGGAGCAAACGGG
rnacentral:rRNA from 1 species